rnacentral:sRNA from 1 species
ACCAUACUUGACCCCCUGGUCUAGUGACUUUGGAGCCAUUCUUCCCAUCUACUCGACCCCCAGGUCGAGUAACCUCAUCUCAGGCCACUCGAUGACGCCACUCG